rnacentral:rRNA from 1 species
GACAGAGGCCUCAAGCGUUAGGCGGAAUCACUGGGCUUAAAGCGUGUGUAGGCGGACUUCUAAGUGCCUUGUGAAAUCCCACGGCUCAACCGUGGAACUGCUGGGCAUACUGGGGAGUCUUGGGCCAUUCAGGGGCAACUGGAACAAGCGGUGGAGCGGUGAAAUGCGUAGAUAUCGCUUGGAACGCCGAAGGUGAAAACAGGCUGCUGGGGUUGCGCCGACGCCGUGAGACACGGAAAGCCAGGGGAGCAAACGGG